AAAAAAAAAAAAAAAAAAAAAGAGAGAGAGAGAGAUUUUGGUACAGUCCAACUUCCCUAGCUUGGCAUCCAAAAGGCCUGAUCUUCCUUUCCAGUCUCAUCUCCCAAGCGUCUCUUCCCUCACUCCCCUCCCAAGUCCCACUCGCCAGCUUCAUGGGUCCAUUAGUUGUUCUCAAACAUACUCGGCAUUUUCUCACGGCCUCCUUUGCUCCCUGGGCUUGGGAAGAACCCCCCAUCCCUCCUCGCCCCUAAUGCAUUGCCCAUCACUCAAGGCUCAGCGGAAAUCCUGCCUUCUCUGAGAGGGUCUCUCAGAUUCUUCCAUUUGGACCUCUCGGGCUUCCACACAACCAGAGUCCUUUGUACCCUGUUAUCCAGUCUGUCUCGGGCCACUUACUUAUGUGCUCCUCUGCCUCUUGUCCAGUUCUGAGCAUCAGGACUGGGUCCCAGGUGACAUCCAUACUUCAAAAAAUUUUUGUUUUGAAAUAGCAGUCUCAUAGAAAGUGGCAAAAAUAGUACAGAGAGACCCCUUGUGCUCUUCAUCCAGCCUCUUCCAAUAGUAAUGUCUUACAUAUCCACAGCACGAGAGAGAUUCAUGUUUCUCUUUGGUUGUUUAUCUUGGUUUUAUCACUGGUUCCUUUUUUAAAACUUGCACUCACAUUUCAAAUGUUCUUCCUCAGCAUCUUCGCAUUUGGUCCAACACCCCACCGUGUUGCACAGUCUCAUGGAGCCAGAUUAGGUGUCAGUGUGAAAAGCCCCUGUCUAUCAAUGGUUUGGAAAAAGGCAUGGGUUGCAAUAAAAAAAUCACCAGAUUAGACUUUCAGGGUAGCAGAAUUUUAUCAUUCAAGGAGUCAACUCUCUGUGUGUUUAGAGCUUUGGACCCACAGGCUGGAGUAUUUAUGAUUAGUAUAGUUCUGUGGUAUAAAUACUUGCCUUUUCUCAUUUGCUUGAUUUGUUUUUAGAGUUUUGUACUUUGCGCCUCUCAAGUCCAAGUGUUAUAAAACCACAGCACCUUACAAAAUACAUGAGCAGACGUGAGUGUUUAAUACAAGAUUGACAAAAAUCUUUGCUCCCUUCUCUAGAAAUGUUUGCUUUCUGGAACAAGAUCAGAAAGCCAAAUUUCACAAUAGUAUCCCUGAGAUGUUGUAAUUAUGCUUUUUAUCUGACAUUGCGAAAAUGACUUAGGGUUUAAAGAAACUGAUUUCCCUCAGAGACACAGUUCUUAGCAGUCUGUCCUAUUUAUAGCCUUUCGCCAUUUUUUAUUUAUUAUCUUUUUCUGAGUUCACAUCCUACUGCUUUAAACUGUUUUCCAUGGUACGAUUUGACGAGCAUUAGAGCGAAUCUCCUUCCUCAAAUAUUCCUUCUUCAGCAGUCUGAGGGUGGAGAAAGCCUAACCCAGUUAUUCUAUAUUUGGGUUGGGGCUUUUAGGAUAAGCAGGGUAGGUCAGAUGUCUAUCUUAGGCUAGGUUGUUAUCAGGAAUGCCUUAGGAGCGAGGCGUUUAGCAGACUCUUUCUUCAGAGGCAGCUGGGAGAGAAUGGCUACAAAUAAAUAGCCAUGCAAGGAACGAGGGAGAGAGAGGGCCAGAGCUGCAUCUCUCAGACACGGAGGAGAAUGCAGAUUACCUGGAGAUCCUGUGCUAACGCAGGGCCUCCGUUAGCGGAUCUGGGAUCUGGAGAGAGAGAGUCAGGGAGGGGUCUCCCAGGUGAUGCCGAUGCUGCGGGAACCCAGACCACGUUUUUCUUCCCAGUCUGCAAAGCCGUCUUCAUGAUCUCAACUUCACCGCAAUGCUUCUUACACAUGCUAAUCUUUUUUUAUGAAUGAUUUUUAUUUGUUCCAUUACAGUUGGUUUACAGUGUUCUGUCCGUGUCUUCAGACCCCGUUUGAGCUGCGAGGGGCCAAAGCCGACUGAGUCUUAGGAGGCUCGGCUGGAGGCACAGCUCUGAGGAGGCCACAUGCGGAAGGGGGAUGGGGCAGGACGAGGAGAGCCAGGGCUGAGGGCAGUUCAAGGAUGAGAAUGUACCAGAAUGGCUCUCUUAAUUUUGCGUAAGCCUCUUCUUUCCAGGACAAAGAUAGAUACUAACAUUUUCUACUUUUUUCUUCUAUUAUAGAUAUUAAUGUGAUCACAUAAUACCAUCUACAGUGGCAUGGAGAUCUACUUGUUGGCCUUGAUAAAGGUGUCAGGUGUUCACUGUUGAGAGGUUUUCUACAAUUAAUGCCGUGAUUCCCAGACACGGAACUCCCUGACAGUACGUCUGGAACGACAUCCGUUUGAAGAUCUGGGAAGGAAAAAAGGACUGCUUUUGUUUGGCCACCCCACAGCAUAUGGAAUUCCUGGGCCAGGGAUCAGAUCCAAGCCAUAGUGACAAAUUACCCGGCAACACUGAAUUCUUAAUCCACUGUGCCGGGCCUGGGAUCGAACCUGUGUCCUGGUGCUGCUGAUCCCAUGGCAUCACAGCAGGGACUCUGAAAAAAAUUAUUUUCCUAUUAAAUAAACUCAUAUAUCAUGGAGAGGAAGGUAAGACGGGGAUAAACUUUAAUAAACAUUUGAAGGGUUGUGGCAGUGGCUUUAGUCUCUGCUCUCACGUCCUGUCUACAGUUUUCUUUUCUCCUGUGAAGAGGGAGACAGCGGAGGUGGACAGGGGGGAAAAGCCCGUGACAGCGAUAAUGCCUGUGAAGUGCAGAAGCAGGUGCUUUCUAUUUUUUAAUUUCUUGUUGUUUCCUCCUUCUUUAGUUCCUUGCCAGGCAAGGUUGUUUCUGGCUUCCUUUCUGCCUCUGCUCUCGACUGCCCUUCCCUCGCUAUGAAUAAUCAUGCAUUGGCUGGUCCUUCUUCCCUCCCCCUGCUUGGUGUCGAUCCUUGGUCUUGGCCUUCGCUGAGCUCUUUCUUGCCACGCCCUCCCAGUCUGUCCAUCACUAGCGCUUCGCCUCUUUAGGAAGAGGAGUCACUAAAGGCAGAUAUUGGGUCAGGUCUGCAUAGCGACCAGCAUGGCCUCUAACCAAUGUCUGCCUCUAGGAACUCCACUCCCUCAAGAAGCGAAGCAACAGUGAUGGACAGAACAGGGGGGACCCAGGGAACAAAGUCUCACCAAUCAACUCCUGGUUCUCUUGCUGCUAAUGUUUCUUGAGCCCUAACUCUGAGCUACAGAGAAGUACAUAAAAAUAACCCCCCAUAGAGAGGCUCUGCCCCUGCUUGACAAUCUCCGCUAUCACUCCACUUGCCUCCAGCUCAGUGGCACUGCCCAGGAAUGAGAAAUGAAUUUACAGUGACCCCCACUGGGCGUGCAGGAAUAAGGCUGGGAUGACCAGCCCAGUGGCACUUCAAGCCGUAGCCUACAGGGGGAUGCAUUGUUUGGCUCUCUAGGGCUUGGAAUUUUCCAAAUGACUACAUGACUGCAAAUCCGCUUUGGUUUAUUUUGUAACAUGGCACCUUUCCAAUUACUCCUUGUCCCAACUGGCCAAGAGGGAUGCCUGACAAAGUGUGAAUAAUGGCUCCUCUUUUUUUUUGCCAGAGUGUUGCUGGUCACGCCUAUUAUUUUUUCUUUCUUAUUGUAUUUUCAUUAACUUAAAAUAAUUUUUUUGGUCUUUCUAGGGCUGCACCCACAGCAUAUGGAGGUUCCCAGGCUAGGGGUCCAAUUGGAGCCAUAGCUGCUGGCCUACACCACAGCCACAGCAAUGCAUGAUCCAAGCCGUGUCUGCGACCUGCACCACAUCUCACAGUGAUGCCAGAUCCUUAACCCACUGAGCAAGUUCAGGUAUUGAACCUGCGUGCUCAUGGAUGGUAGUCAGAUUUGUUUCCACUGAGCCAUGGCGGGAACUCCUUAAAAUAAUUUUUAAGCAACUGUUGUUAAAUUAGGGUAUAAGGUCUUCCAACUUAAGUACAGCAUAAAUGCUUCUGUUUGCUUUCUUUCAAGCCAACGGUUGCCCUUCACCUGCCUCUGGCAUUUUAAGGGGCACGAGACUUGAUGCCGUCUCCUCCUUGCCGUCAGGACCAUCUCCAGCCUUAUCCCCAGUCUUUGUCCAAGCCAGUUCCUGGGGAUCAGCUUCCAGAGAGAAGAAAACUAUGCAGUGAGGCCAGAGGUUGCUCAAGAUCAUCAGGAAAAGAAGGCCGCCUUUAAUUUCUAGAAUUCCAUUCAAAGGAACGGAAGUGAGGAAGGAGAGAGAGGGUCAGGCCUGGAGUUGGGGUAAGGACGAGGUAACAGUGGAGAGGUGAGAGUGACGUUGGCUGGUAGAGGAGGGGGUGGGGGGAGACAGGAAAGGGAGCAGAGGUGGUUGGGGGCUGGCUGACCCCUACCUUUUGUAGCUCUUAUCCAUAACCAUUUAGAAGGUAUGAAUCAAACUAACAGAUGGUUAAUAAGAUGGUGGUAGCCUUCCGUUUUUGCAGGGAUACCCUCUUGAUGAUGGUGGAGGCAGAUGUGAAUGUAGAACUAUCAGCUUCUGCAGAGAUACUUGCUAGAAUAUUGUGGCCCUCCUGCCAGGCCUGGGUCUCCAGGUGCUUUCCACGCUGAUCCUGCUGCAUCACAUAUGAGGGGUUGCAGGUGCACACACAGAGAUGCCCCGCCUCAUGAUCAUGCUCUGGUCCUAUCUCCAACCCCCAUCCCUGACAAACAGGAGCUUCUAGGCCACCCAUUGGGCCUCAGAGUGUAUACACUGGCCAUAUGGUUCUUCCUUGCAGGUUUGUACCCAGGGAAAAGGCCAUCAAGCCCCUCAAAGUGAACCUGGAUGCUGUCUACAAGAAGCAGGGUUUCAUAAUGGUUCCAACUUGGCCCAUGCCCUUGGAUUCAUGGCCUCUCUGCUUUUGGGCAGGAAAUAGGGUUGGAGAAGGGCCAGAGUGAGGCCCUUGAAAGUGUAGAGGUCCCUCUUGCCCAGGUCCAAGCCUAAUACUAAGUAACAGAACUGUUCUGUCUUCCCACAAAGAACAUCUUUAAAAGUACAGGUAAAUAGCCAAGCUCAGGCCUUGGAGGUUGAAAGGUGCCAGGUCCACACUUGUUAGGGAAGUUUCAGAGUCCCUUGCCUUUGGCUGGACUCUGCUGGGCUGGACCACAGGCAUCCUUGCAGUCACCAGUACAGCCUGAAGACCAGAGGCCUUUCUUUCUCCCCAUUUUCUAGGAACCAGGAAAGAUUCCAGCUGACCUAGGACCCUGAAGCAGGACAGAGAGAAUUUCUCAAUCUCUCGGGUUCAUGCGGGGCUCAGAGUCAUAUUUAAUUUGAUUUAGAAAAAUAAAAUCACGUGGCAUGCCCUGUACUCCAUCCUAGUGUGAUGUAUACAAUGAUAAUAACAAGCACAUAAAGCACAUUAUCCAAUUUCUGAAUCCACAGCGUGUUCUCUUACACCUGCAGUCUGCCCUGUUUACGUGCUUCCCUUUGGGUACUAGUCCUGCACAUGAUAAAUUUCUUGAAGGCAGGAAGUGGCUUAAUUCUCACUGAGUUCUUAGCUGAAUGCAUCAGAGUGCCAUGCACACAUCAGACUUUUAAGAACUGAUUUGUUGAGUUGAAUAGAAUGUUUCUGAAUUCAAUGUAAAAAUGAGUGGUCAAGGAUGUAUCGCUUUAUUCUUAGAACUAGUAGGGCUUUUUUUUUUUUUUUUUUCUAUUUCCGUAUUAAUCUAGACAAAAACAUCCACUAAUUUUUUUUUUUUUAAGGCCACUCCUGUGGCAUAUGGCAGUUCCUAGGCUGGGGGUCAAA